rnacentral:rRNA from 1 species
UACGUAGGGGGCAAGCGUUGUCCGGAAUCAUUGGGCGUAAAGCGCGUGUAGGCGGCUCGGUAAGUCUGCUGUGAAAGUCCAGGGCUCAACCCUGGGAUGCCGGUGGAUACUGUCGAGCUCGAGUCCGGAAGAGGCGAGUGGAAUUCCUGGUGUAGCGGUGAAAUGCGUAGAUAUCGAGAGGAACACCAGUGGCGAAGGCGAGUCCCUGGACAACACCUGACACUGAGGCACGAAAGCCGGGGGAGCAAACAGG